rnacentral:rRNA from 1 species
UGGGGAAUAUUGCGCAAUGGGGGGAACCCUGACGCAGCCAUGCCGCGUGAAUGAAGAAGGCCUUCGGGUUGUAAAGUUCUUUCGGUAUUGAGGAAGGUUGAUGUGUUAAUAGCACAUCAAAUUGACGUUAAAUACAGAAGAAGCACCUGCUAACUCCGUGCCAGCAGCCGCGGUAAUACGGAGGGUGCGAGCGUUAAUCGGAAUAACUGGGCGUAAAGGGCACGCAGGCGGUUAUUUAAGUGAGGUGUGAAAGCCCUGGGCUUAACCUAGGAAUUGCAUUUCAGACUGGGUAACUAGAGUACUUUAGGGAGGGGUAGAAUUCCACGUGUAGCGGUGAAAUGCGUAGAGAUGUGGAGGAAUACCGAAGGCGAAGGCAGCCCCUUGGGAAUGUACUGACGCUCAUGUGCGAAAGCGUGGGGAGCAAACAGGAUUAGAUACCCUGGUAGUCCACGCUGU